rnacentral:rRNA from 1 species
GACGAACGCUGGCGGCGUGCUUAACACAUGCAAGUCGAGUGGAAAGGCCACUUCGGUGGUACUCGAGCGGCGAACGGGUGAGUAACACGUGAGUAAUCUGCCCCUGGCUUUGGGAUAGCCACCGGAAACGGUGAUUAAUACCGGAUACGACCACUUCUCGCAUGGGAUGGUGGUGGAAAGUUUUUUCGGCCAGGGAUGUGCUCGCGGCCUAUCAGCUUGAUGGUGAGGUAAUGGCUCACCAUGGCUUCGACGGGUAGCCGGCCUGAGAGGGUGACCGGUCACACUGGGACUGAGACACGGCCCAGGCUCCUACGGGAGGCAGCAGUGGGGAAUAUUGGACAAUGGGCGGAAGCCUGAUCCAGCAACGCCGCGUGAGGGAUGACGGCCUUCGGGUUGUAAACCUCUUUCAGCAGGGACGAAGCGCAAGUGACGGUACCUGCAGAAGAAGCACCGGCCAACUACGUGCCAGCAGCCGCGGUAA